rnacentral:pre_miRNA from 1 species
GGCCCAAAUUUGAAGCGAGAUUGAUUAGUAAGGUCAGGUGAUCCUACUACUCUACUGUACUUCGAAAUUGGGCCC